GAUGUGCCCAGAUGGGAUUAGCUUGUUGGUGAGGUAACGGCUCACCAAGGCGACGAUCCCUAGCUGGUCUGAGAGGAUGACCAGCCACACUGGAACUGAGACACGGUCCAGACUCCUACGGGAGGCAGCAGUGGGGAAUAUUGCACAAUGGGCGCAAGCCUGAUGCAGCCAUGCCGCGUGUAUGAAGAAGGCCUUCGGGUUGUAAAGUACUUU
rnacentral:rRNA from 1 species